rnacentral:rRNA from 1 species
UUUUAUGGAGAGUUUGAUCCUGGCUCAGGACGAACGCUGGCGGCGUGCCUAAUACAUGCAAGUCGAGCGGRAAUUUUAUUGGUGCUUGCACCUUUAAAAUUUUAGCGGCGGACGGGUGAGUAACACGUGGGUAACCUACCUUAUAGAUUGGGAUAACUCCGGGAAACCGGGGCUAAUACCGAAUAAUACUUUUUAACACAUGUUUGAAAGUUGAAAGACG